rnacentral:lncRNA from 1 species
AUAUUUCAGGUGAAGGCAAUUUUGUUACUUUUGGCUCUUCCAUGUGUAUAAAUACAGUAUUAUUUUGCUGUGUGCAUAUAUAUACAUAUAUACAUACAUACACAAAAGAUCACAUCAACUCCCAUAAGAGAAUUGAUUGACCCUAACUUGAGGCCAAAGCUUGGAUUUAGGUAAUAAAUCACAAAAGCUUGGAUUUAGGUAAUAAAUCACAACCAACCAAGUUACAAGAAAAUGCAACUUUACCAUUGGAACUCAACGAGAACAAACUAAAAUCUUUUUAAGUAUAUCAACAGACA